GGAGAGAUGGCUGAGUGGACUAAAGCGAAGGAUUGCUAAUUUGUUGUACAAUAUUUUUGUACCGAGGGUCCGAAUGCCUCUCUUUCCA
rnacentral:tRNA from 2 species